UGCUGUAAUCAUAUCCUGCAAAAAGUUUCAUAAACAUUAAAUAUGAAUGAGAAUGACACAAUUUCUCUUAUUAUAUAGAACUAACUGCCAAACAAUUGAUUCUGCAAAAAGUUUCAUAAACAUUAAAUAUGAAUGAGAAUGAUACCAUUUCUCUUAUUAUACAGAACUAACUGCAAACAAUUCAUUGAGUCCUAUAAUCUCAAUUUCUGUAAACACACUUCCAAAGUUCUUCUUUAGUCAAUUUUAAUGAGAACCAAUACUCACACGAUGAAGACCUCGUCAACAUCAAUAUAAAUCAUCAUACUCAAUAACCUAACUUAUUCAAAUACUUAGGCUAACACAAUAAAUAUUAUUGACCAAUUUGAAAAUGCAUAUAUGUAAACCGAGUUCUCUCUAACGUCACAAAGUGAUAGUUCCAUCGUCCAAAAUACUGUUCAUUCUUUACCAUGUCACCGACAGAUCUAUGUACUUCCAUAGUCAUCCUUGUUCAUAAGCAUAUAUAUUAUUGAACAAUUUCAAAAGAUGGUUUCCUCUUUAUCAUGUCACAGGUGCGUCAAUGUACU
rnacentral:lncRNA from 1 species